UACGGAGGAGGCAAGCGUUAUCCGGAAUUAUUGGGCGUAAAGCGUCCGCAGGUGGCACCUCAAGUCUGCUGUCAAAGACCGGGGCUUAACCCCAGAAAGGCAGUGGAAACUGAAGCGCUAGAGUGCAGUAGGGGUAGAGGGAAUUCCUGGUGUAGCGGUGAAAUGCGUAGAGAUCAGGAAGAACAUCGGUGGCGAAGGCGCUCUGCUGGACCAUAACUGACACUCAGGGACGAAAGCUAGGGGAGCGAAUGGG
rnacentral:rRNA from 1 species